GUGGGGAAUAUUCCGCAAUGGACGAAAGUCUGACGGAGCAACGCCGCGUGAGUGAUGAAGGUUUUCGGACUGUAAAGCUCUGUUGUUUAGGACGAAAGUGCCUGUUGCAAAUAGUUACAGGUAUUGACGGUACUGAACGAGGAAGCCACGGCUAACUACGUGCCAGCAGCCGCGGUAAUACGUAGGUGGCAAGCGUUGUCCGGAAUUAUUGGGCGUAAAGAGCAUGUAGGCGGGAAUCUAAGUCUGUUGUGAAAAUGCGGGGCUCAACCCCGUAUUGCGAUGGAAACUGGGUGUCUGGAGUGCAGGAGAGGAAAGGGGAAUUCCCAGUGUAGCGGUGAAAUGCGUAGAUAUGGGGAGGAACACCAGUGGCGAAGGCGCCUUUCUGGACUGUGUCUGACGCUGAGAUGCGAAAGCCAGGGUAGCGAACGGGAUUAGAUACCCCAGUAGUCC
rnacentral:rRNA from 1 species